rnacentral:lncRNA from 1 species
UCGAUCUUACAGAGCAAGCCAUUGCUGUUCUGUUCAGGAAUUUUUCCCCUGUACCCAUAUCUUCAAGGCUUUUCCCCACUUUCUCCUCUAUAAGUUUCAAUGUCUCUGGUUUUAUGUGAAGACCUUAGCUACUAAGACACACUGCUUUUCCUGCUUUCACUUUUCAGGGAAAUGCAGCUCUUAAGAGCAUGCCAGGUUGUCCCCAGUGGCAGGGAGCAGCUUUACAUGUGGGGAGUCCUCCCGGCAGCCUGUAGACCAACCUGCACACUUUCUACUUGGGCAAGUAUCUGUCCUUAAGGAUUGUACUUCACUACAAGCCAUGAGACUGUCUUUCUCUGCUGUACUCCCCUGUAGUAGAAAAGUCACUCUGGCUAUCAGUCAUUACUCUUGGUAACAUGCAGUCAGUGUAUUCGACAAGCCUGGCUUCUACUUCCCCAUACACACGCCUGCUUCUGAUCUAUGAGUUCUGCCACCUGAAGGAGACAGUGAGGGUCAGGUUGAGAGAUGUGCUGUUUGGUACCCAAAGCUGGUACCAAAUGAUUCUACCAUCAUUCUGGUGGUUCCAAAUUCCCCCCCUAACGACCCCCUAACCUCCCCCCCCCCCACACACACACACAGAGCAGACCACAACUGCUUUAUUUCAGGGGACCUCAGUGUUCUUUCAUCUGAAGAAAAUGUCAUAAAGACUUUGCCUCCCCCUUCUCCCAAAAAGCGUUUAUUUAUUUUGAUACUUUGCUUCACAGAUGAAACUUGAGUUAUUCUGAAUAUUUCAAAAGCAUGAAGAUACCAUUUGAAACACAAACAAAACAAAACCAUGGAGCACUAUGUCAUUAAGCAUAAGAAUGUCCUGAGUAAAAACAGGAUUUCAUAAAACUCUGUCUGCACCUCUGAGGGUGAACCCUCAGGAAAGAGUGAAAAAGAAUUAAAAUUUCAUAUUCCCAAACUUGGGAUUCCUUAGGCCUCCCUCAACUCCAGCAGAGUUCUGCUUCUUGGCCUGGCAGGCUUUGCAUGACCUGGGAAUGAUGUCUGAGAUCCUCAAAUGCACCCCCUUUAACUCUUCAUCAGAAGGGCAGCACAGGGUGGCUGCCUUAUUUCUGUCCUAGCUAGGAGUUUUACCACAGAAGCUGGUACUCUGGAGAUAGCACUGAAAAUGUUUAGCAGAGCAGUAUUGGAAGGUCCGAUGUAAGCAGUCUUUCCCUCCUCGGCUGUGAUGCUGGAGAAUGGAGAAUUAACUCCCAGCACUGACCCCCCCCCCCCUCGCCCAGGUUCUGUUUCUGUGCCUGGUGGAGAUGGACCAGGUCAUCACCAAGAGCUCCUCAUCCCUCAUUGCUCUAGGACUCACAGUGAGUCACACUCCGAUUCUGGACACCCUUUAGUCAUUUGGUGACAAGCUCUGUAAACUGUAAAGUAUCCCACAACCAUUAUCUCCAUUUCUAUCAAGUAGCUGGUCUCUCCCCACAGCAAGCCACAACAGAAUUGUUUUGCUAGCACUUUCACCCCUCAGAGGGCCAUCAUCAAGAGCAGAGGUGACAGCGCGUGCUUCCCACCUCUCCUGUUUCCUCCCUCUUUCCCGUUCAGCUGCACCUGCAGAUCCAAGAUGUCACAAAUGCAUUGAAAUUUGGGGGCAGUAAAACAAACAAACAAACAAACAAACAAAAAGCAGGUCUCCUGCUGGUGGCUGCUCUGCAAAUGGCAUAAUUGCUGCAGACAGAUCUGGAGGCAAAUUUUGUAUCUUAGUAGCACUAAGUCCAGUUGGCAUGAGUCUACAAUGCUUGUGAAAAUAAUGUUAACAUUAGAGGAAACCAAACGUGUAUGGUCUUCACAGUUUUGUCUGUCUGAAGUUACCUCAAAGUAAAUUGCUAGGAAGGACUGAGGGCCAUUUAAGCAUGUUAAAAGUGAAAGUGGUGCUUGAGUGUUUCUAUCCCCAAAGAGCUUUAGAGUACAGGUGCCUCGCUAGGACCAGUCCUGAAAGCAAGAAGAGGGGACUUGGGAAAGAGUCUGGAGAUGAGCAAGUGCUCACGUGGUUUCCAGCGAGCGUGAAGAGCCCUGGGACUCAGGGAGCCCUUUGCCCCUCAUUGACACAGCAUCCUCUAGGAUAGUGGUUCUCAACCUGUGGUCACUACCCCUUUGGGGAUGGCAUAUCAGAUAUCCUACAUAUCACAUAUUCAUAUUAUGAUUCAUGACAGUAGCAAAACUACAGUUAUGAAGUAGCAACGAAAUACAACAUGGGGAGCUCUGUUAAAGGGUUGCAGCAUUGGGAAGGAUGAGAGCCGCUGCUCUAGAGGCAGGGAAUGCAUUCGACAUGAAAUUAGCAUCCUCCCUUCUAGUGACAAGUGCUCUGUUUCCACUACCGAAGAGAAUGUUAUGUUUCAGAAUAUCAAAGCCUCCGUCUUCAAACCAGGUCUCAUAUCUCUCCUUUUCUCUUUCCUUUUCCUUCAAGAUCUCCACUAGCCAGAUGGACCUCAUGCCUCCCAGGGCCCCUGAAUGCUCACACCAUCACCCUUGCCUUGCUCAGCCUCUCCUGCCAACCCAGGAUACAUAGUACAUUGGAGACUAGUAUGGCCUAUAGUAUGAGACCCUAUUCCAAAGAAGGAGAAGAAUUCAAUAACCUGAACAGCCUCUAAAACUCUCAGAAACCUGAGGCAGGAGGAUCACAAGAUUGAAGCCAAUCUAGGUUUUAUAGCAAGACCUAAAGAAGGGAGAAUAAAAGAAGAAUCAGAUGUACUGGGAGUCCCAGCCCCUCUCAUCUUCUCCCACUACAGGAAUGGCCCUGUUCCUGGCAGUAACAGGAAGCUCGCCUAGAACAUCAGAGGGAAGCACAGCAUCCCAGGUUCACUAGGAAACAACUGAGGUGCCCAUUGUGGCCACCAGGCCUAGGUCCUACCACCACAGAGCCUGGGAAGAGACUUAUGCUGGGAACCAGCUGGGAGCUGGAGUGAGGAACACCUAGGUCAGGUACUCUACUUCCGUCCAACUUCCCCAGAGAGAACGUCUUGCACUCUGCCGAGGCAAACUUCCAUUCACAUUACAGUUUUGUCAAGCAAAAUCUCCUUUGCUUACUGUGAAAUCCCUGCCUUUCUUUUCCGUGCUUCCAGCCCGUGGAUCUCAGUCACCUCUUAAAUAAUUCAUAAUACCUGUCACCCAAGGCUAGGAGCCACAGCAGAGGAGUGAAGGCCAAAUCCCUUGUGGAUGAUGAAUCUCUCUCCUGCUCCCAUGCGGAAUCUCUGUGACACCCAGAAGAGACGUUUAAGAAUUCCAUAAGCUUGAUGAGCUGUGUAAAAGCAGCAGCUGUGUUUAUUAUCAAUUAUUAUUAUUAUUAUUAUUUGCUUAGAAAAUGAAAGGCAAACGGUCUAAGACUAAAAGAUCGACUGUUAAGGGCCAUGCAGCACCUAUAAAUGGAGUGUGUUUAUCCCAGCAAAAAUAGACAGAGCAAUUGUAUGUUACAAAGGUCCCAGAGGUGGGACCCAGAGGAAAGGGUUUACUGGCUCACUCAUUCCAGUCAUCCUCUAUCACUGGAGGAAGUCAGAGCAGGAACUCAAGCAGGAACCUGGAGGCAGGAGCUGAAGUCCAAAGAAAGCCCGCUUCCUGGCUGCCCUCCGUGUCUUGCUCAGCUUCCUUUUUAGAGAACCCAUGACCACCAGGCCAGAGGUGGCACCACCCACAGUGGGGAGGGCCCUGGCCCUCCCACAUCAAUCAUGAAUCAAGAAACUGUCCCCACAGACUUGCCUCCAGGACUGCCUAAUGGAGGCACCGUUUCAGUGAAGGUUCCCUCUUCCCAAAUUAUUCUAGUUUAUGUCAGGUUAACAAAAACUGGUGUGAGUUGGAUGUCCCUUGAGGGUCCUUGUGAUUAACUGCCUGGUUUCCAGGGUGGAGCCAUUUGUAAAUGGUAGAACUUUUAGGAAGUAGGACCCAGUGUGAGGUUCUUCCAUCAGGAAGAUAUGCCCCAGAAGGGACUGUGGGAUCUCAGCUCCUCCCUAACUUCCCGUGGGAGAUGUAAACUUCCCACACACAUGCACACACAUGCUCAAGUUCCUCCAAUCUGAUGUGACUGUAGAAGGAGUUCUUCUCCAGACAUGAGCUGAUGCAAGCCACAGCCCACACCUCCAAGACUGAGCUAAAUCAACUGCCCCGGGUAUUUUAUUGCAGUACUGAAAGCUGACUAAUGCUUUGAGCUGACUGAUGCAGCCAACCUAAAUGUCAGCAACAGACAAUUAAGAAACAAAGUGCGGUGCUUAGUAACACGGGUUCACUGUCACACAGUCUUGGAAGACCUUUUAUUUUACAAGUGAACAGCAAAAUUGCAUUUAUACUGAGAUUGCAGCCAACACAUGAAUAUGCACAGGCAUUGGAAGCGUCCAAAGAAGCUUUUGUUCUUUGGUGGGAUGUUCAGGAGCCCUUCCCAAGAGGGGUUGUACUGAAGAGCCCCGCCCCAGGGCAUGUGGUGCUGAGGAGCCCCACCCCCAGGACAUGUGAUACUGAGGAGCCCCACCCCCAGGACAUGUGAUGCUGAGGAGCCCCACCCCCAGGACAUGUGGUGCUACUGAGCAGGAGGCAGAGAGGGAGAAGAGCUUCUAGCUUUCCAUGUGUUGCUUCCUCCACUGCACUCUCUGAUGUCCCAGCACUAAGGGGGCAGGGUGCCCAUGAGAAACAGGUCCAUCCUCCUGGACCUUAGGCCUUAGUUAUAAUUACCGUGCAGUUGUAACUUGUGAACUACAUACAAUCCACAAUGACCACCACCACUACCACCACCUCGGGAUUUCCUUCACAAUCACUUAAGUAUCUGAUCAGGAAACAAAUAUGGUUGACAUAGAGGCUUAGAAGCUAUGGAGGUGACUAUGUGGCAGAACGCUUCAAGAGAAUUGAGGGAGAUCUGUUUUGUAAGGCAUGUGAUCUCUGGCUCUGAAUUGUUCCUAGAGGUCUAAAAAUAGGACUGUGCAUAAAUGGUUCAUUGACCAGUGCUGGAUUCAUCGGAGGGGAGAGGUCAUCCACGGUUGAUCCUAUUGUGAGUGUGUGUGGUGGGGGAGUGACAACAAUCAGGGCCACUGUGUUUUCUGGGAGGCUUGACAAGGUCCACAUCCAAACUCAGGAAUCCCUCCCCUGGAGCCCAGGACUGUCCCUGCAUAUGGGUGGCCUCCAUGUGUCACUGAGCCUGGGUGCUGACAACCCUGGGUCUUUAGAAGCAUAUGCAGAGGAGGAGGCAGGCUAACCAAGGGACUAGGAGGCAUGAUGGCAGAUGGAGUGUGUGUGUGUGUGUGUGUGUGUGUGUGUGUGUGUGUGUGUGUCCAGGAGAAAGCUAUAACAACCUGUCACAGUGAAUCAGUAAAGGGAAAAUCAGCUGUUCUUGACAGCCUAGCUCAUGUCCCAGGCCUGGGCCCCUCCCAGGAGUGGGGCCAGGUACUCUGGCACAUCUCCUCUGUUCUGAACCUGCAUCCUGACUGCUCCCACACAGACUGUGACUCAUCAGUCAGUCCAUCCAGAGACAGUGGUCCAGAACUUCCCUGUGGAACAUGGAAGAGGCCACAUUUCUUAGUUGUUGCCAGGCAAACCAGGACAGAUGACUACCCUACCCUUAUGGGAGAGCCUUCUGGUGCCAUACCACGAUGUUGAUAGAGUUCCUAGACAAAAAAACUGCACAUGGUGGCCACCUGCAGUCUGAAGGGAGAUGCUGUAACCUUCCUGACAGCUUUGCAGACACCUCUGCCUUCCAAAUCUCUCACUGUUAGAGUACUGAGCAGGCGCAUAGCAGCGUUGGAGGGGGAGCUUGAGGUGUGGGAUGAGCAGGCUGGGCCAGCUGAGUGGGCUGAGGGAAGAAGGGGAGAGGCAGGGACUGAGGUGUGAGCUGGUAGCAGGCAGGCUCCUCCAGUAUAUUACUCAUGUGUGUGCCCUUGGCAAGGGGAAGGAAACACUGGCACACUGUGCACCCACAUGAGACGACACAAGUCACUUCCUCUCACAUGCUGCCUGCCGUAGUAGGUGACUGAGGGAGCUACACUUCAGAAAUAUGAAGUCUUUCCAUGAUGUCUGUAAACAGCUGAGACUAUCCAGAAAGGGGAAUGAAGCUAUAGAUAAUAGCCUCUUGAGUGGCCUGCAGCCUCCUGGCUUCUGUAGGCAGUAGUAGGCUGGGAUGGGAUGCUGGAAUCCAAUGUGAUGGUAGAUGGGAAGGGCUAGGAUGGGGCGGGAUAGAGUGAGGUGGGGUGGGGUGGGAUGAAGAUGGACACCUUCUGGCUGGCCUGGAGUUUGGGGCAAAGACUGUUUUGUUUAUUAGGAAGAUGAGACAAGAAGCAGAAAUCUCAGCAGACAGGACAGAGCCCCCACGCAGGGAAGUUUGGUCCCAAGUGUGCCCGCAUUACCGAGCCUGUCUGUGGUUUGUAGUGUAGCAUCCCUUCUGUGAACCACAGAUAAAGGAUGGAAACUCAGCUGCAUAUGAGAUGAUGUGAGGGAAAGGUGUCUGACUGACUGGAAAGUGCUGGACAGAUGCCAGAUGCUUCAUGGCUACCUCAGCCACAGGUCAGAGGCCACAGGUCACAGGUAACAGAGGGGUGUUUAUCACACAGCCCUGGCCACUGCUGUGUCUCCAUGUGGCUGCAGUGAGAUGGUCUUGCACAAUAGUUUUCAGCAAGCUGACUUCUGAGAACAGCUUCUACAACACCCUCUCCUCAGGCUCCACAGUUUCCAAGGCCCAGUCUGGCAGGAGUGACCUAGCUACACCCUGUCAGCCUAUCAUCAGGAUUCUUCUGGGACAUUUUGGUUUCCUUGUGUUUUCUAAUAUUGUCAGAUAUCCAGUCUUACAUUGGGGCCGUUGCAUGGGCUUGCUGCAUAUGCAAAGAACAAAAAAAUCUUAUUGUCAGUGCCAGUGGAUUGGUGAACGUGCUUGGCGCUUUACUUCAGGAAACAGGAAGUCAUUUUCCUUCCUGCUAGAUUCAGAUAAACCUGAAAUAAAGAAAAAUGAUAGAUAUUAGGAUACUUUAAUUGCUUUGUGCAUCUCUGUUACAUAAGAAGUAGGCUCUGUACUUUAAAAUGGGUUUCCUGCUUGGCAUGAUGUCUAGCCUGUGUUCCAAGGGACAGAGGGGUAGGAGUCACGAACUCUGGCCAUGAGUAGAAAGAAUGGACGAGUGAUGGGUGACUCUCCCCGCUAGAUUAGUGGUGGUGGAGGGGGGUGGGGACAGGGAACGUGACCAGUGAUUUAAAAGUGCUUUCUGCAGUAAGCUUAAAGUCUGUAAAAUGUAAGCUGUGUGAGGCGUGUGUGGCAUCCUGGGACCGCUGCUGCUGUACACUUCAAAAAUGGCUAAUGAUGUCACAACUGUUUUCACAAAAAUAGAAUCAAAUCCAGGAGACAGGACUCAGCUCAGUCUGCAGUUUGUAGCCCCAGUAAGCUGUUGGAUGCUGGCCUUUCCCUCACAACAUCAUUAUGACAGUCAUAAGGAAGGGGAGGCCAAGGCAUUGAGCUCUUUGCCACACACCCCGGACCCACCAACCCAGGGAGUGGGCAUGCAAACAGGAGUGUUUCUAAAGGACAUCAGUGGGCCUUUGUUAACUCCUUCAUGGAGAAACAUGCAUAACCUCUGUGCUGCUUCAUACAUGUGUAAGCAUGUACUAUCCAUGUCCUCAAGUCCAC